GACGUAGGAUGCGAGCGUUAUUCGGAUUUAUUGGGCGUAAAGCGUGCGUAGGCGGCUAUUUAAGUCUGGUGUUAAAGCUAGGGGCUCAACCCCCUGUGAUGCACUGGAUACUGGGUAGCUUGAGUGCGGUAGGGGAAGGUGGAAUUCCGAGUGUAGCGGUGAAAUGCGUAGAUAUUCGGAAGAACACCGGUGGCGAAGGCGACCUUCUGGGCCGCAACUGACGCUGAGGCACGAAAGCCUGGGGAGCGAACGGG
rnacentral:rRNA from 1 species